CAAUCCAGCAAUCUUUGGGUACGGCUUGCACUUGAAGAUCUUCCUGGAUGACACACGAGGUAGUUAUCAAGCAUCUAAGGAAAAGAUCGAAAAUGAAGAGCUUCAUCCUGCAGCCGGUGCUGCCUCCCCUCCGGUCUCCCUGUCUAGAGACACACACCGAAAUCACUGCAGGCAUUCGACUGCUUCGUGCGGCACCGGAAGGAGCCCUGUGGGUCAUCACAGCCAAGCCCAUAAACAAGCACCAUCGCAAAACCAAACAAAUGGAGGAGAAGUGGCUCAGUGGAGGUACCUGCCAACGAGACUUGUUCCUCUGGCACGAGGGCUGCUCGGCAAAAGCCUCCAUCCCUCAUUAAAUCAAUAAAAUCAAGUGUCCUUUAUUUUAAGCCUCA
rnacentral:lncRNA from 1 species